UACAGAGGGGGCAAGCGUUGUUCGGAAUUACUGGGCGUAAAGGGCGCGUAGGCGGCCUUCUAAGUCGAACGUGAAAUCCCCGGGCUCAACCCGGGAACUGCGUCCGAUGCUGGAAGGCUUGAAUUCGGGAGAGGGAUGCGGAAUUCCAGGUGUAGCGGUGAAAUGCGUAGAUAUCUGGAGGAACACCGGUGGCGAAGGCGGCAUCCUGGACCGGCAUUGACGCUGAGGCGCGAAAGCCAGGGGAGCAAACGGG
rnacentral:rRNA from 1 species